GACGACCGCUGGCGGCGUGCCUAAUACAUGCAAGUCGAACGCAGUGGGGACGGGUGAGUAACACGUGGGUAACCUCCCAUCAGAGGGGAUAACACUUGGAAACAGGUGCUAAACCGAUACUGAUGGAUGGACCCGCGGUGCUUUAGCUAGUUGGGGGGGUAACGGCUCACCAAGGCCACGAUGCAUAGCCGGCCUGAGAGGGUGAUCGGCCACACUGGGACUGAGACACGGCCCAGACUCCUACGAGUGGCAGCAGUAGGGAAUCUUCGACAAUGGACGAAAGUCUGACCGAGCAACGCCGCGUGAGUGAAGAAGGGUUUCGGAUCGUAAACCGCUGUUGGUAGAGAAGCGGUAUCUGACCAGGAAGCCACGGCUAACUGCGUGCCAGCAGCCGCGGUAAUAC
rnacentral:rRNA from 1 species